AUAGAAAUUGGGGAAAAAUACUGAAAAGUAAAUAUUCUGCUUUACAAAAUCCAUCUACAUACAUAUUUGUGUAAUUGAAUUGAAUAUGUAAAACACAUUGAGCUUUUUCUUGGUGUUUUGAAAAACUUUUUUUUCCUGUGUUAAGUGAAAAGUACUCCAGUAAUUUUUAUCCAUCCAGUAAGUACCAUGGCAACCACAUGUGCUGAAUCUCAAACUCCAUCACACUCCAUCGCUAUACUUGCAGUAUCCAUCCUAUGCGCCUUGCUCACUUGCUUUUUUGAGUUUCGCUUUGUUGUUUUUUAAAAAAUGGGGUUGUCAAAUUGGUUCCUCCCCAGAGGCUGUCAGAAUCUUCCAUCCUUGGCUGUCUGGAGACUUUGGGAGGAAAAGUACCUUCUGGUUUAGCCUGAUAAUUUGACUUAUUUCCUCCUUCAGAGUUUUUUCUUCUCUGUUGCUUUACUGGCUCAUCUCUUUAACAUACUCAUUUCAUUCAUCCAGAAACAUUUACUGAGCGCCUAUUAUGUUCGAAGGCCUGUGCUAGGCAUUGGGAAGGAAGGAAAAACAGAAGUCAAAAUCCUUGCUGUCAGCAAGCUUGCCACCCAGUAAUUUGCCUGGCAUUCCACUCUUUCUCAGACUCAGUUAUUAUCAAAGAAAAAAAGAGCCUUAGGCAAGGGCUGCCUUUCCAGGACAGGUCUGUGAGAAGAUUCUCAGAGUCUCAUUUUCCAUGAGAGGCUUUUCUGUGAAUUUACAUCUUCAAUUAAAGGUGAAUUGUUCUGCGGAAAAAUCUCUCCUUGCAAUUUCAUGCAUUUCAUCUCUGCUGAGUCAGAAGAGAGCUAGCAUCAUGCUAGGGCCAUGGACACCCAAACACGGUGGCCCUUGACCGCUGUGAACAGGCCUCCCUCACAGGCCUUGGUCAGUAGGUCCGGAAAUAAGACUUUCACAGUUUGAUUGGAAACAAAUGAUUUGUAGCCUUGGGGUUGAUCUGGGAGUGGCCUUGCUGUGCUCCAGUCCCACCGCAGGAACCCCAUGCAGGUGGAGUGUCAGCCUUGUCCUGGGUACUGAGUUAUAAAAUAGAAAGUGUCCAGAAGAAUGGGCUGGUUUUCCCCUGGUUGUCACUCUGUUGUUGAAAGCUUCUCUCUCUCUUUUUUUCUUUUUCUUCUUUCUUUUUAGGACCACACAUGUGGCAUGUGGAAGUUCCCAGGCUAGGGGUAGAAUUGGAGCUACAGCUGCUGGCCACAGACACAGCAUUGCAGGAUCCUUAACCCACUGAGUGAGGCCAGGGAUCGAACCUGCAUCCUCAUAGAUAUUAGUCAUGUUUGUUACCCGUGAGCCAUGACAAAGCUGAGAACUCAGCUUCUCUUUUUGAAAGGGAAAGGCCUAACGUCCCUUCUGUAAACCACGGUCUGUUUCUUUGUUGUCUUCUCAAAGGCUUUUCUUGUUUUUAGAUUUCAGCCUCCAUUAGGACAGUGAGGUCGGGUGUCCAGCCAGCAGGGUGGAUGAAGAUCAGACCUACCAUGCGAUCUUCCAGCAUGGCUGUGGGGCCCACAUUCCAUAUUUCUCCAGAAAUAGAAUGAAAUAUUUGGGGGAAAAAAACCCAUAUACUCCAUAAAUAGAAUGAAAUAUUUGGAAAAGCUGUUUCAGAUUCUGUCUAGCAUUUGUAACAUCAGAUCUGUUAAAGAAAGGAAGAGUAUUCAAGCAAGUGUUUAUUUGGGGUCAGCUUUGGUUUAGUUCUGUGUAUUUCUGAAGUAGUACAGAGUUUCUUCUCAGAGUUCUCUUCUUCUCAGUGUUCAGAAGGUCUCUGUGUUUUUUUUUUUUUUAAUGGAAGUAUAGUUGAUUUACAGUAUUUUAUUAGUUUCAGAGGCACCACAUAGUGAUUUGGUAUUUUUCUAGAUUGUAAUCCAUUUAAAGUAAUUACAAAAUAAUGGCUAUAUUUCCCUGUGCUGUGCAAUAUAUCCUGGUGCUUAUCUAUUUUAUAAAGCUCUAUCAUUUUUUUCUCUUUGCCAUUUUUGAAAAAAAAUACUUUUAUAUUCUUAUUUUAUUUUAUUUAUUUAUAUUCCUUAUUUUUUUUUUUUUUUGUCUUUUCUAGGACCACGUCUGCGGCAUAUGGAGGUUCCCAGGCUAGGGGUCACAUGGGAGCUGCAGCUAAAGCCUGUGCCACAGCCACAGCAACACCAGUGAGUAAGGCCACUGAGUGAGAUCUUAACUCCACUGAGUGAAGCCAGGGAUCGAACCUGUAUCCUCACGGAUACUAGUCAGAUUCUUAACCUACUGAACCAUAAUGGGAACUCCUAUGUUCCCGAUAUCUUUUAAAGUGAAUGUUUAAAAAGUAGGACAGUGAAUUAUAUUUUAUAUUCAUUCCUAUGUUAAUUUAAAUUUUUCAGUUAAAUUAUUAAAUCAAAGUAUGUUUUUCUUAAGACUGAAUUAGAGAAAUAACGUCUUCGUCUCUUUGGUAGAGGUAGGUCUUCCAGCUGUCUCCUCUGCUUUAUUUUGUUGCCUCUGUCAAAGAACAGAUUUAUUAUUCAGGCUCUGUCUAAAUCUGUAGUUUGACAGCCACGUCCUUGUGGUCACCACACUAUGCUUUUCCCAUAAACUAAAUAGCAGCAAACAACCUGUCAAAAGUUAUGGUCAUUCUCCGUAAUGAAAUGCCCAUUGCAUGAGCAGCAUCAGGUUAUAAUGUGGGCUGGAGUUAACGACGGCAGCCUGUUUUCCCCCGUGGGAAAGUGAACAGAGACAAUGGCCUGUUAUUUACCCAGGAAGAGCGAGUGUUUAGUUUUCAGUCUUUUGGGGAUGGGGGGUGGGGCAACACCCAUACGUUUGGUGAUGUACUAGCAGGACUCACAGAUCAGUGUGUGGUCACACGAACGGCUGAGGUGGUGGCAGUGACCCUGCGAAGCUGUGCGGUCUUCCUGGCCCGAACUUCUGGACGAUGACCCAGGACACAUCCACCCCAACAGUGAAAAAGGCAGCUGACUGUCUGCAGCGCAUCUGCCCAGAAAGCCCAGAGAAGCCCAGAGACUGGGCAUUAUUGUGGGGUGGUCAGGUAGGCACCCACUGCCUCGCAGCCCCACUGAGAUCCCAGCCUCCCUAAGAGAAGGCGAAUGCUCACCACAGGUCACAGUGUCUGCAAAGGGCCUGGACACAAGGCUUCACAUGGGGAUAAGGAGCUUCUUACAAGCCUAGUUCCCAGAUGCCAGCUAAGGGCCAGCCUUCCACGCUGGUUUCUGCGGACAGCAGCCUCAGGCCUGGCCUGUCAGCGCUUUCCCACCCAGGCCUGCAUUUCAUUUCUGGAAACAGUUUGCAAACAGGACGCUGACCUCCAAGUGAUGGCCGUGGGGAAAGCACUGUGACCGUUCCUCUGAACUGCCAUCCAGAUCAGACUUUGCAGUGGUGGCACAGCUGAAACGAAUUCGACUAGCAUCAUCAGGUUGCAGGUUCAAUCCUUGGCCGUGCUCAGUGGGUUAAGAAUCUGGCAUUGCUGUGAGCUGUGGUGUAGGUUGCAGAUGCGGCUUGGAUUUGACCCCUAGCCUGGGAACUUCCAUAUGCUGCGGGUGUGGCCUUAAAAAGAAAGAAAAAAAAAAAAAA
rnacentral:lncRNA from 9 species